rnacentral:rRNA from 1 species
CGUGUGGUCUUAUUUUGUUGGUUUCUAGGACCGCCGUAAUGAUUAAUAGGGACAGUCGGGGGCAUCAGUAUUCAAUCGUCAGAGGUGAAAUUCUUGGAUCGAUUGAAGACUAACUACUGCGAAAGCAUUUGCCAAGGAUGUUUUCAUUUAUCAGGAACGAAAGUUAGGGGAUCGAAGACGAUCAGAUACCGUCGUAGUCUUAACCAUAAACUAUGCCGACUAGGGAUCGGACGGUGUUAUUUCUUGACCCGUUCGGCACCUUACGAGAAAUCAAAGUGCUUGGGCUCCAGGGGGAGUAUGGUCGCAAGGCUGAAACUUAAAGAAAUUGACGGAAGGGCACCACCAGGGGUGGAGCCUGCGGCUUAAUUUGACUCAACACGGGGAAACUCA